UACGGAGGGGGCUAGCGUUAUUCGGAAUUACUGGGCGUAAAGCGCACGUAGGCGGCUUUGUAAGUUAGAGGUGAAAGCCUGGAGCUUAACUCCAGAAUUGCCUUUAAGACUGCAUCGCUUGAAUCCAGGAGAGGUGAGUGGAAUUCCGAGUGUAGAGGUGAAAUUCGUAGAUAUUCGGAAGAACACCAGUGGCGAAGGCGGCUCACUGGACUGGUAUUGACGCUGAGGUGCGAAAGCGUGGGGAGCAAACAGG
rnacentral:rRNA from 1 species